GUUAUAUAGAAAAAGCUGAUUUUGUCUUUUCAGAAACCUAAAACAGGCUUUAUGCCCCUCAAAAAAAGGUCAAAUCUCUUCGGUCAAAAUGUAACAAAGUUGUGCGGUAAUGACCCAAACAUUUUCCACUAUUUAAAACUUCUGUAAGUAUAAUGGUUGCUGAGAUUAUCCCAUAACAAGGUGUUAGGUCAAAGGUCAAGGUCAACUUACAAAUUUGACCUUGAGAUAUUUUUCAAAGAUACAUGAAUUGAUGAUGAAUGGUGAAGAUCCUAGGUCUCUACGACUUACG
rnacentral:lncRNA from 1 species